CACCCUGCCCCCUCCCCCGCCCGCGCGGACUUCCUCCUCCGCAAGCUGUCAACAAAGGAGAAGCAGGUUUGGCAUCCGGAGGCCGCUCGGCUGCCUGUCCUGCGCCCAGCUCAGCCCGGACCCAUCGGCCACCUUAAGUAGCCAAGGGGGCAAGGAAAAUGCUGCCAGGGCCCGGGAAUUCGAGUCGGGCCUUGCGAGCCCAGCUGGCUUGGCCCCCGGGGGAAUAGAAGGUCUAGCGUUGGGGUUAGGGGGGAGCUCAGAACACAGGAAGAGUGGGUGAGGGCAGUAGGGACAGGGAAUCCCCCCCAUUCGCAUCACCUGUCACCGCACACAUCCUGCACACCUCCCUCUUCAUCUGUAAUUUGAGUGAGGGGUGAGUGGGGAGGAACGGGGCUUGUCUGGUAGGGUUGAGACUAGAGUCUUGGAAUUUGUGGGAGCAAAUUUCCUCUUCUUGUAAAUUAAAAAAAGAAAAAGGCCAACAAGCUCAUGGGGGCAUUGGGGACGGGAGAAGAGCUUUCUAUAUCCAAUUCAGAGAAUCUUUCUGGCAGGGUAAUCAGAGGGGUGGCAAUAAGAUAACUUAUUUUAAUAACCUAAGGUGAGAGGUUUCGGGAUUCUGGAUGACAAUGUCUCGGUGCCCUCAAGGCCACUGAUUCCUCGCCACACAGUCUCAGUAACUCCGCAGCCUCUAGACACGGCUUUCCGGAAGCGGCCUGCAAGCUGGACCCCAGCGAGUUCGCAGGAUCUGCGUAGUCCCUGCUCGCGAUUAGAGCGCACACGAGUUUACUCCUGUCCAAGUAUUCUGAUAAGCUUCCUCUACUGCCCUCUCGUGGCCACAGUCCUCAGUGGUAUAAAUCUAAAAAACAACAAAAAUCACUGCGAAUACCUAAAAGCAAUUGCACCAAAUUCUUAGAGCAGUAGCGGCAGAAGAAACGAAGGGAGGGAAGGAUGAAGAAAGGGAGCCGGAGAAAAGAGAGAGAGAGAGGAAGAAGAAAAGGAAAUCUAGACUAACCAGUCAUCUCGAACAAUCGCACAUUCAACACAGGACUGGGGGAUCUAGGCUUUACUCCAACAUCUGCAGAAAUCAGCGAAUUCUUCAAAAGUUCUUCAUUGUAAUUAGCUGAAAUUUGUGUUCCUGUAACUUUCACUGGCUACUGCUAGUUUUGUCCUGUGGG
rnacentral:lncRNA from 10 species